GACGAACGUUGGCGGCGUGCUUAAUACAUGCAAGUCAACUGAAGCAGUGGUAGUAAUACUACUGUGGAGGUGGCGCACGGGUGAGUAACGCGUAGGUAAUCUGCCUUUGGGUCUGACAUAACUCCGAGAAAUCGAAGCUAAUAUCAGAUGAUGCAGCGGCUUGACAUCAAGACAGUUGUUAAAGCUUCGGCGCCCAAAGAUGAGCCUGCGUCCCAUAGGUAGUUGGCGGAGUAAUAGCCCACCAAGCCCACGAUGGGUAGCUGGUCUGAGAGGAUGAUCAGCCACACUGGAACUGAGACACGGUCCAGACUCCUACGGGAGGCAGCAGUAAGGAAUAUUGCUCAAUGGCCGAAAGGCUGAAGCAGCAACGCCGCGUGAAGGAUGAAGGCCUUUUGUGUAAACUUCUGUAGAGAGAAGAAAAAACUCAUUCUAUGGAGAUUGAUGGUAUC
rnacentral:rRNA from 1 species